GAGUAUGUGGUUUAAUUCGACGCAACGCGAAGAACCUUACCAGGGCUUGACAUCCUACGAAACUUAUAGAGAUAUGAGCCUUAUCCUUCGGGAUAACGUAGAGACAGGUGGUAGCGACCGAUAGUGAACCAGUACCGUGAGGGAAAGGUGAAAAGCACCCCGGGAGGGGAGUGAAAAAGAACCUGAAACCGUAUGCCUACAAACUGUCGGAGCACUAUUCGAGGUUCGAUAUUCGAGAUUCGAAAUUCGAAUGCAUGUCAUAUCUUACGGGUCAAGUAAAAAAGACCCUAAAGGAAUGCGUGUAUCGAACCACGAACUUCGAACAUCGAACUUCGAAGUGUGACGGCGUACUUUUUGUAGAACGGACCGGCGAGUUACAUCUAACGUGCAGGUUAAGGCAGGAAAGCCGGAGCCAAAGCGAAAGCGAGUCUUAAAAGGGCGAGAGUGUACGUUGGAGUAGACCCGAAACCUGGUGAUCUACCCAUGUCCAGAGUGAAGCUUUAGUAAAAUAAAGUGGAGGCUCGAACCGACCUUCGUUGAAAAGGAGGCGGAUGAGGUGUGGGUAGGGGUGAAAUGCCAAUCGAACCAGGAGAUAGCUGGUUCUCCCCGAAAUAGCUUUAGGGCUAGCCUCGGUGGAUGAAUAACGGAGGUAGAGCACUGAAUGGGCUAGGGGCCUUCACGGGUUACCGAACCCAAUCAAACUCCGAAUGCCGUUAUUUUAGAAACCGGGAGUCAGACUGCGGGUGCUAAGAUUCGUAGUCAAAAGUGAAAAUUGUACGAUUGGAGCGAGAAAAGGCCGCAGAGAAAAGGUCCAAGCGACUGUUUACCAAAAACACAGGUCCCUGCUAAAGCGAAAGCGAGGCAUAGAACCGAAGCCCCAGUAAACGGCGGCCGUAACUAUAACGGUCCUAAGGUAGCCUUAGGCCAUGUGCCAUGAGCCGUG
rnacentral:ncRNA from 1 species